CUCGCCCUAGAGGCCUUGCAGGUGUGGCUGCUGCAUCACAUGUGCAUCAGUAACUGGCAGAGGUGAGAGGCUAUGUCUGCCCUCAGUGUUCUGACCUGUGAACAUCUGAAUGAUUGAUUAGUAGCCAGCCAGA